UACGAAGGGGGCUAGCGUUGUUCGGAAUUACUGGGCGUAAAGGGCGCGUAGGCGGAUCAUUAAGUUAGGGGUGAAAUCCCGGGGCUCAACCUCGGAAUUGCCUUUGAGACUGGUGGUCUUGAGGACGGGAGAGGGUCGUGGAAUUCCCAGUGUAGAGGUGAAAUUCGUAGAUAUUGGGAAGAACACCGGUGGCGAAGGCGGCGACCUGGACCGUAUCUGACGCUGAGGCGCGAAAGCGUGGGGAGCAAACAGG
rnacentral:rRNA from 1 species